UUUUUGGAGAGUUUGAUCCUGGCUCAGGACGAACGCUGGCGGCGUGCCUAAUACAUGCAAGUCGAGCGCACAGAGGGGAGCUUGCUCCCUGAU
rnacentral:rRNA from 1 species